rnacentral:ncRNA from 2 species
UAGUAAUAUAGAAUCUAUGAAGUAUAUAUUUAUUUGGGCACUUUAUAUAUACAGAGAUUAUAGUGCAACCGGCUAUAUUUUAA